rnacentral:rRNA from 1 species
GAUGAACGCUGGCGGCGUGCCUAAUACAUGCAAGUCGAGCGCAGCGGGGACGGGUGCGUACCACGUGGAUAACCUACUAUAAGACUGCGAUAACUUGGGGAAACCAGUGCAAAACCAGAUACUUAUAGAUGGAUCCGCGCUGCAAUAGCUAGUUGGUAAGGUAACGGCUUACUAAGGCAACGAUGCAUAGCCGACCUGAGAGGGUGAUCGGCCAAACUGGAACUGAGACACGGUCCAGACUCCUACGGGAGGCAGCAGUAGGGAAUCUUCCGCAAUGGGCGAAAGCCUGACGGAGCAACGCCGCGUGAGUGAUGAAGGUCUUCGGAUCGUAAAACUCUGUUAUUAGGGAAGCGGUACCUAAUCAGAAAGCCACGGCUAACUACGUGCCAGCAGCCGCGGUAAUAC